rnacentral:pre_miRNA from 1 species
GCUACAUCGAAAACCUGACGAUAGUCACUGACACUAUCAGUUUCAAAGAGCGGGAUGUGUAAAAGGUCUACUAGCUGGUUGCAUGCAUGUAAAUAUGACGAUACAACCACUAUUAKGCCUUUUACCUAUCCCAUUCUGUGCCACUAAGUGCCCGUGAUUAUUGUCAGUUUCUUUUGCAGUGGC